rnacentral:rRNA from 1 species
AUAACAAGGAAGGCAGCAGGCGCGCAAAUUACCCAAUCCCGACACGGGGAGGUAGUGACAAUAAAUAACAAUAUAGGGCUCUUUGGGUCUUAUAAUUGGAAUGAGUACAAUUUAAAUCCCUUAACUGAGGAACAAUUGGAGGGCAGGUCUGGUGCCAGCAGCCGGGUAAUUCCAGCUCCAAUAGCGUAUAUUACAGUUGUUGCAGUUAAAAAGCCCGUAGUUGAAUUCAGACCUGGCUGGGUGGUCUGCUUAACAGCAUGUACUGUCUGGCUUGGAGGUCUUACCUCUUGGUGAGCUGGUGUGCCUUAAUUGGUGUGCAUCAGGGAACAGGAUUUACCUUGGAAAUUACAGAGUGUCAAAGCAGGCAUUUGCUGAAUACAUUA